rnacentral:rRNA from 1 species
UACGUAGGGUGCAAGCGUUAAUCGGAAUUACUGGGCGUAAAGCGUGCGCAGGCGGCUUUGCAAGACAGAUGUGAAAUCCCCGGGCUUAACCUGGGAACUGCAUUUGUGACUGCAUGGCUAGAGUGCGGCAGAGGGGGAUGGAAUUCCGCGUGUAGCAGUGAAAUGCGUAGAUAUGCGGAGGAACACCAGUGGCGAAGGCGGCUCACUGGCCCGGUACUGACGCUGAGGUGCGAAAGCGUGGGGAGCAAACAGG